rnacentral:rRNA from 1 species
CAGUCCCGCGGUAAUACAGAGGAUGCAAGCGUUAUCCGGAAUGAUUGGGCGUAAAGCGUCUGUAGGUGGCUUUCCAAGUCCGCCGUCAAAUCCCAGGGCUCAACCCUGGACAGGCGGUGGAAACUACCAAGCUGGAGUAUGGGAGAGGUGAGUGGAAUUUCCGGUGUAGCGGUGAAAUGCGUAGAUAUCGGAAGGAACGCCUGUGGCGAAGGCGGCUCUCUGGACUGUAACUGACGCUGAGGCGCGAAAGCGUGGGGAGCAAACAGGAUUAGAUACCCCCGUAGUCCCUGUCUCUUAUACA